AUACGUACUACUUCCGGUCUUUUCCCGCUUGCCCGAUCACCGAGAAUUGGCUGCGUUCAGCAGAACAACUGCUGAAUUGUCGUUUAGUCAACACUUAACGUUGAUUUGUUGGUUCUAAAAGUAAGAGCCAAUCAUGUUCGAUUGCUACCAAGCGAUUUGUUCUGCUGAACGCGCCCAUUGUGUGCGUGAACAAGGAAAAUUGAAUUCCAUCGAUAUCGAAGCUUGCAAUUGCAGGAUUGAAGUCUUUUGUGCAUUAAAUUUUAUUGGCAUUCUUCUAUUUGGCUGUAUUCUCUGCAUUCCACAUUGUACCUUGCAGUUGAAAGCUUCGAGUCUUGCGUGAACAAUUCUAUUGGCAUUCUUCUUUUUGGCUACUUUCUCUGCAUUCCAAUUUCUACGAAACCUUGCAGUUGAAGGUUUCGAGUCUUAUAUGCUAUCGCAAUGAAUGACAGAGUACAUAAUAAAAACGACUCUUCAUGCUGGAACAAAAGUUAUUACUUUUCUACCAGGAACAAAGGUCAAAUAUUGGUGUGUGGGACGAAAGGAAUGCCAUCAAAGAUUUAAGGAGAGCUGCUGAGAUUGAUCUUUCUUUACACAAUUCCGUUGAGAAGAAAUUACAGAUAUUUGUAGCAGCCUUUAAAGAAAAAAAGACUGUAAAAAUUUUAUUACUUUAAUCUAUUUUUUCAAUAUUUUUUAGUAACAAAAAAUGAA